AAAAGGGUUGGUUCAUAUUUUGCUUAUGGGAGGAUUGAAUAGUUAGAGCUAUUUGAAUAUUUUAUUUUUUUGUUUUUGAUUUUUGCAGCUGUUGUCUAUAGCAUUUCAAUGCACCAUGUUAACCCAUUAAAGGCCCCCAAAGUCCAUCAAGGACCAAGGUUGAGAGCUGCAAGUUUUCUCUUUUCCAACAACUCUUUUCCAAGGCAUCAGAAUUUGGUGAGGAGAAUAGUUCUAAAGGCUUCAUCAAUAGAGGGAAUGGAAGGUGAGGGGGAGAUUAAUCAAAUGAUCAAACUUUUGGUUGAGGAAAAAGUUCUCCUUUGCUAAACUUUUGACUGGGGUGAG